GGACCAAUUUAGGCAUGGGAUAGCAUGAGACUCUUAAUCUCAAUGUCAUGGGUUCAAUCCCCACAUUGUGCA